AGCAGCCGCGGUAAUUCCAGCUACAAUAGCGUAUAUUAAAGUUGUUGCAGUUAAAAAGCUCGUAGUNGAAUUUCGGGGUCAGUAGAUCGGUCAUGCCACUGGUAUGUACUGGUCUCACUGAUUCCUCCUUCCUGANGAGCCGUAAUGCCAUUAAUUUGGUGUUGCGAGGAAUCUGGACUGUUANUUUGAAAAAAUUAGAGUGUUUAAAGCAGGCUAACGCUUGAAUACAUUAGCAUGGAAUAAUGAAAUAGGACGUUCGAUCUUAUUUUGUUGGUUUCUAAGAUUGACGUAAUGAUUAAUAGGGAUAGUUGGGGGCAUUAGUAUUCAAUUGUCAGAGGUGAAAUUCUUGGAUUUAUUGAAGACUAACUACUGCGAAAGCAUUUGCCAAGGAUGUUUUCAUUAAUCAAGAACGAAAGUUAGGGGAUCGAAGACGAUCAGAUACCGUCGUAGUCUUAACCAUAAACUAUGCCGACUAGGGAUCGGAUGAUGUUAAUUUUUUAAUGACUCA
rnacentral:rRNA from 1 species